GCCUAGGUGGUGCAAUGGUAGACACACGACACUUAAAAUGUCGCGCUCGCAAGGGCAUGGGAGUCCGAGUCUCCCCCUAGGCA
rnacentral:tRNA from 1 species